GACGAACGCUGGCGGCGUGCUUAACACAUGCAAGUCGAACGGGAAGGCCCUGCUUUUGUGGGGUGCUCGAGUGGCGAACGGGUGAGUAACACGUGAGUAACCUGCCCUUGACUUUGGGAUAACUUCAGGAAACUGGGGCUAAUACCGGAUAGGAGCUCCUGCUGCAUGGUGGGGGUUGGAAAGUUUCGGCGGCUGGGGAUGGACUCGCGGCUUAUCAGCUUGUUGGUGGGGUAGUGGCUUGCCAAUGCUUUGACGGGUAGCCGGCCGGAGAGGAUGACCGGGCACAUGGGGACUGAGAUACGGCCCAGACUCCGACGGGAAGCAGCAGGGGGGAAUAUUGCACAAUGGGCGGAAGCCUGAUGCAGCAACGCCGCGUGCGGGAUGACGGCCUUCGGGUGGUAAACCGCGUUCGCCUGUGACGAAGCGUGAGUGACGGUAAUGGGUAAAGAAGCACCGGCUAACUACGUG
rnacentral:rRNA from 1 species